GGUAAUUCUCUCUUUUCUCUAAUAUCUCUUUUUUAUGAUCAUUGAAUAAACUCGAACGAUGGUUCACUUUUUAGACUCCGAGCAGGUUGACUUGUAUACGGACUUUGCAUAACGACAAUGAUUAGACUUACAUAAUGUGAAUACAGAAUAAUAGAAGGAAAAAAUUACAAUCCGAUUUCUCCAAGUGAAGACACGUUUCCAGCUGAAUUGGAUGACGGUGUUGUACCUUUUUGCUUGAAAAUUAAGCAAAAACCAAUCGAAGAGACACGAUCAUAUAUCAUAGAGUAUAGUGGCCAUUGACAUAACCCAAAAUCAACUAAAAUAGUCUAAAAGUAAUAAAAAAAAGUAUGUUCAAACCGUGGUCGGUCAAUUAGUAAGAUAAUUCUGCCUUUAAAUUGAUUCACAUGACAUAUUUUCAAUUCUUCUGAUAAAUCAGUUACUCCAUUCAUUCUUAACUACGUAAAAUCGGUCUUGAAGUAAUCAAAAUUCGUAAACACAUGGCACAAAUUUUACCAUCCAAAACCGAUUUGGACACGGAGUAAGACUUUUAAAUGUAAUAAAAUGGAGAUUAUGGAGACACUAUUAAUGAUAUUAGUGUCACGUGUUGGUACAUUAUAACACGAAGAAAGUCCAUUUUCAACUCUUAUCUUUUAGGACAAGAUAACUAGACAUUGAACUAUUUCCCCCACUAUGUUCCUUCGACUUCGCAUUAAAAUAAAAUAAAAUGUUGCACCAACAUUUAGCUGUACCCUUCUUUACAUUUAUAGUGGAGAAAACACACAAUUGCCUCAUCGAUGUCGAGUGUUUGUUGAAUGUAACUCUGUGAAGGAAAGGGGCUGAAGACUCUUGAUUAAUGUCAAACUCCACAUUCGAUUUUGAGAUAAACUUUAUCUUGGACGGAAUGUUAUUUAUCAAAAAGAAUAAUUGAUUUUCACUCCGAACAUUGUGAUUAGUACUUGAUGAUACCAAAAAAAUAAAAAUAAAAAAUCGCACCUGUUAUCUCCGAGCUUGAUGUGCUUGAUGACUGAGAUUGAUUGCUAGCGAGAUCUUCCAAUACUUGAAACAAAAGCGUCGAGGUGUAUCAUUGUCAUCCCUCCAAUGCUUAAGUCAGAAAGAGAAUUUAUACACGAGGGUAUGAAUUGAAAAUAAUGAAAAACGUACUUGAAUAAUGAAUUUUGGUUAUG
rnacentral:lncRNA from 1 species